AUGACCCCCAGACCCCCAGAACACCCCUGACAAGAGGUAGGUUAAGGUUUUUUGAAAUAUUUUGUGGAACUUGGGGCCCGAGAAACGUUUGGAGUGGCCCUGCAGGACCGUGUUGUGUUGGAGAUGGUGAAGAGCCAGUGAUGAUGAUCACUCUUCCAAUGUUUGUGUUCCUGCUUUGCCAGUGUGCAUAUGUUUGAUAUGAGCAUGUGUGGCUGUCAGUCACUGGUAUCUUGGCUGUGCAGGCGUGAGCAUGUCAGACCUGCUGAACACGUGUGAGUCAGUGUGAGAAACACACAGUGAAAGACUCCAACCAUUUAAAGUAUUAGUACUGUAAUAUUACAAUAGUUCAUUACAAGUUAAGGUCCUGUACUCAAAGUUUGAAGUAUUACAGGAACAGUACUGUUUGUUCUACGUUUGUAGAGACAGUCAAAUAUGUCCACUGGGACUCUUUAUGCUCAACCUAAGAAGACAACGUUGUAAGAACUGUACACCAGAGAAAGAAAAAUGUCAACAGCCGAGGAUGAAAGCUACAUGCUUUCGUGACAAGGUGUGAAGGGGCGGAGCUGUCCAGCCAGGCGACUCAGAGGCCCCACCCCCUCCAGCUCUUCAUCCCACCUGGAAAAGAGGCUUACCUGCGUCAGGUUCCCUCCACACAAAAGACCAAAAGGCCAAGAUUGACGCACUUGAAGACUCGUGGCAGAAAACUGACCACACCAAAGGUUUGGAUGAAGUUCAGACUGAACGUUUCUUCAGGACCCUUCAGACUGCCGAUCAGAGGUCAGAGGUAAGGAGGCCUCAUUCACAGCACAUACUGCCAAGUGAACAUGAACAAGCAUCAACUGAAUGGUACUAAAUGAAAAUCAAGAGUGUCCGCUGAUGUUUGAAGACCACAUAGAAAAACAUCUGGUCAAUUUAAACAUUUAAAUAAAUGGGAUUUGUUGCCUUAUUGUACAUCAACAGCCUGUUACACCAGUAAUGUCUAAGUUUGUAAGUGUGGUUUGGUGUGUGUGGGAGGCUAUAAUGUAAUAAAAACAGGUAGGGCCAUAUCAGUUAAGAGGAGGUUUAAAUAAAAUCUAAAGUAUACAGUGCAGGUGCAAGUGGGUGUUUGAAUUACAGUGGAGGUCAAAAAACAAAAGUUUGAGUUUGUGUGUGACUUUAUAUUUGUCCUAUAACAUAUGAGAUAAUUGGGAUGGACAUGUGGGGGUGUUUUUUUAAUUAUCGUCGCUAUCGUCGCUGCUCUCGUGUGGUAUUGCUUUGUGAGCCUAAUUUGUUUCUGGAUCUAAUAAGAUAAAUGGUUCUCAGUGACCAGGUGGAAAACUGUCAACCGUUCAUGCAAGUUGGUUAUGCUGUUGGUUAUCACUGAUAUUAUGUUAUGAUUGGUCUUUGUCUGAUAGUUUAACAAACAAUAAUCCGCCACAGGCUCCAAGAAUUCACAACCCAGAAGAAAAAAAGAAGCAAAGAAAUAGAUGACGUGUCACUGCUGUCAGGUGAAAUCAUAUUUCUAAAAUGUUGACUCUUUAGGAAACAAAGCUUUGUUUCGUUUUUUUAAUGAUAACUGUCGAAGCUUUGUCAUUGUGAGUUUAAGAGGUCUGAAAAUGGUCUUGACCACCCAGAGCCCCAUUGAAAUAAUGAGAAAGAAAAAACACAUCAAGGCUUUCCCCCGAUGCUGAUGAUGUGAUGUUUUAUGUUAUUAUUAGAUGAAUCAAGUGUGCUUAGCAAAUAAAGAGCUCAGGUGUGGGCAGAGGAAGUAAAGAUGGAAAAUAUGCAGUGCUGGCACCUUUGUCAUCGAAAAAGACUCAACUUUUACAUAAAAAGGUUGCAAUGUAACUUAAUUGACAGUGAUAGCUUCCAGUAUGUUUAAUUGAGGAUUUGGGAUUUUUUAUUGACAGGGAUUUUAAAGCAAAAGGAAACUUUUUCUUCAGGUGGAGCUAGUGUGAAAAAAUGUGAGAGGGAAAUAAUAAAUGAGGCGA